CAAAACGUCUCUUUCUAUCUACGUCCCGCCCAUAGUGAUGGUUGCUUAGCGCGGGCUUCCGGUGAUUGAUCCAACCGAAUACCGUGUUUCUCCGAGGCUACUGGUCCGUUGAUGGUCUGCAGUAGAACCUGAGGUAGCUGGGUCCUAACCGUAGCCCAGCAUCAUGACAGAGAGUUUCAGCAACAUCGAGGAUGAGGCGUUCCCCAGUUUCCUGUCUACCUCUGUGGGCAGCAGCCGUGCACCCUGGGAAACGUCACCCUGGCCUCCACCCUGGGGCUGCCCGUAGCUGCCUCCACCGUGGCUAAAAUUAGAGCUGGGUCCGACAACAGAGUAAAUGCCGUCCAGGCGUCAUAUCUGGAGGACGGUCGGUUCUCUCUGGCUGACUCUCAGUCCAACAACAAGGAACAGGGGAAAUUUGCCCUCAGCUUCAAAGAUGAGCUAGAUGCUGCAGAUGACUUCAUAGCAGCCCACCGGUUCUCAGACAUGCUGG